CGCGCCGCGACGUCCUUGUCUCUUUUCUGGGGACUAGGAGGGGGUUCCUGGGGAGAAAGGGGAGAGCGGAGGCCGCCAUCUUGGUUUUAAUGGGGGCAGCCCUCUUCUUCCCCGGCGACUUAGGGUACUGGGAGGCUGCGGGGCUCGCUGGCUGGGGUUUUCCAGUGGAGCCAGCGACGUGGCUCGUUGUGGGCCGAAUCCCAGGAGGUGGUCAGGCGCCUGCCCUGGCUGGAGGGUCUCCGCGGGCUGGCCUGAGCUGCCUAGCUCACUGUUGACCCCUGCAAAACUCGCCUCUGCGGAUGGUCUGCGAGCCCCUUCUGAGGGGUCUCAGGCCCCUUUGCGCCUCUGCAAUGUAGAGGAAGGACCCUGGACAGAACUUCAACCUAAACUGUUCUGUUGGUGGAGAACGGAUUUUUUGAGAGGAGGAGCAGGACGAGGAGAGAACUUGAGACAAAGCCACUGCAGAAGAAGAGAAAAUCUAAGGACUCACCUGAGUGGCAGCGUCUUCAAUAUGUAUUUCUGGAGGAAGCAGUUGGGAUGGGCCUUAAUUCAACCUGACUGGCGUCCUUGUGAGAAGAGGAAAUUCGGACACACCGGGAGACACCAGACAGAUCCUUGAGCAUGCAGAGACGACCAUGAAGACACUGGGAGAAGACGGCCAUCUGCAGUUCUGGGCAGAAAGUUCAGAAGGAACCAAAGCAGUGAACCAAACCAAAAAUCAGUUGAUUGUGGACUUGCAGCCUCCAGACCAGUAAGAAAAUACAUGUCUGCUUAACCACCGUAUCUGUGGUAUUUUGUUAUGGCAGCCCUAGCAAACGAUCAUAGUGAUGAUCCCAGACUGCGUGGUGGGGACAAGUAAGAAAGAGAGAAAAGGUAGCCGGUAAAAGAUGCAUUAGCAAGCUCUGUGGGAAACAGCCAAAAUGGGCACCCAAUGACAAAGACCUAGGGUUGUUAUGGGAAGGUUUCCAGUUUUUAUUUCAAGUCCUUGCCCCCACAUGAGAUAAAAAUUCAAAGCAGUGGCAUACAUACAGUACAAAGAUGAA